rnacentral:lncRNA from 1 species
GCCAAAUCACUUGUGGAUUUUGAGUUAUGCCAUUCUAUACUUGUAUUUAUACAAAAAUGAGACUACAUACUAUAUAUUGCAUUCUAACCCAGUUUUUCUCUUGACAAUUUAUUAGCCACAUAAGCAAGUCAUUGGUUGUGCUGCACCUAACACUGCACCUCUCCUGAACCAAGAAGGGGCGUUGGCCUCUGGCAGAGGCUUCAGGGGCCUUUGCUUCCCUCUGGUUUUUGGCACCCCUCGAGAAGCCGGGGCUUUUAUUUGUUUUGCAUCUGUCCCAUUGGCAGGACACUCUAGGACAAGGUGAAAUAAUCAGGAUGACAGAGUGCCUGUGCCUCUGCCCGUGACAAGGUGAAAUAAUCAGGACGACAGAGUGCCUGUGCCUGUGACAAGGUGAAAUAAUCAGGACGACAGGGUGCCUGUGCCUGUGACAAGGUGAAAUAAUCAGGACGACAGGGUGCCUGUGCCUCUGUCCGUGACAAGGUGAAAUAAUCAGGACGACAGGGUGCCUGUGCCUCUGCCCGUGACAAGGUGAAAUAAUCAGGACGACAGGGUGCCUGUGCCUCUGCCUGUGCCCGUGGCAGGGUGUUCUUCAGGCUUCCAUCACGUCUGCUGUUGGCUGGGUGUGGCAAAGAGGUGACUGUAUUGGGACAAUUUUCUUCUUUCUCUAGAUAACUAACAGUGUUUAUCAGGG